rnacentral:ncRNA from 1 species
CAAUGAGCAUUGAACAAGAGAGUAAGUAACUGGAUAGUGUUUAGGAAGAAGACAGCAGACUGAAAUGUCUUCCACGCCAGAAACUGAAAGUAACUUGUGAGCUGACGCACUGAACUCGAGUAAGUGUGUCCGGAGCAUUCCGUUAACAUGAUAAAGAGGGGGAUUUUUCCCCAAUUUAGGUGGUACCGCGAGAAAUUCGUCCUAUUC